GCUGCCAUAGCUCAGCCCGGUAGAGCAACCGAGAUUAUCGGUAGGUCGUUGGUUCGAAUCCAACUGGCAGCUUCA
rnacentral:tRNA from 1 species